GAUGAACGCUGGCGGCGUGCCUAAUACAUGCAAGUCGAGCGAACAGACGAGGAGCUUGCUCCUCUGACGUUAGCGGCGGACGGGUGAGUAACACGUGGAUAACCUCCCUAUAAGACUGGGAUAACUUCGGGAAACCGGAGCUAAUACCGUAUAAUAUAUUGAACCGCAUGGUUCAAUAGUGAAAGACGGUUUUGCUGUCACUUAUAGAUGGAUCCGCGCCGCAUUAGCUAGUUGGUAAGGUAACGGCUUACCAAGGCAACGAUGCGUAGCCGACCUGAGAGGGUGAUAGGCCACACUGGAACUGAGACACGGUCCAGACGCCUACGGGAGGCAGCAGUAGGGAAUCGUACGCAAUGGGCGAAAGCAUGACGGAGCAACGCCGCGUGAGUGAUGAAGGUCUUCGGAGCGUAAAACUCGGUUAUUAGGGAAGAACAAAUGUGUAAGUAACUAUGCACGUCUUGACGGUAACGAAUCAGAAAGCCACGGCUAACUACGUG
rnacentral:rRNA from 1 species